GACGAACCGAGCGAACGUUAUUCGGAAUCACUGGGCUUAAAGGGCGCGUAGGCGGGCGGCCAAGUCAGGGGUGAAAGCCCCCAGCUCAACUGGGGAAGUGCCUCUGAUACUGGUCAUCUCGAGGGAGGUAGGGGCGUGCGGAACUUCCGGUGGAGCGGUGAAAUGCGUAGAUAUCGGAAGGAACACCGGUGGCGAAAGCGGCGCGCUGGACCUCUUCUGACGCUGAGGCGCGAAAGCCAGGGGAGCGAACGGG
rnacentral:rRNA from 1 species